AUGGAUGAAAAUAAACGCCUCUGGCCGAAAUGCUCGGGCUGCACCAGGCCUGGAUCCGGGCAGAGCAGUGGAGAAAUGGGCCUCGCUGCAAAUGCAGCAGGCCUGGAUCCGGGUGCAGUGCAGAGGGGAAAGGGGCCUCGCUGCAAAUGCACCAGGCCUGGAUCCGGGUGCAGUGCAGAGGGAAAAGGGGCCUCGCUCCAAAUGCACCAGGCCUGGAUCCGGGUGCAGUGCAGAGGGGAAAGGGGCCUCUGCGCAGUUUCCAGUGUAACGGUCAGAGCAUUCAGGCAUGUGCAGACAUGCCAGUCCUGGCCUGCGCUUUUUUUUUGUUUUUGUUUGUUGUUUGUUUUAACAGCUGCUAAUAAUUAUAUUAUCCUGCUACAGAAGUACUUCUGGGAAAUGGGGAUCUUUGAAAGCACAGAAGUGAUAGGAGGAAGAUGCUGCUUCCCUCCCCCCACUCCCCUUCACCAUGCUAGUGUUCAGAUACAAACAGCAUUCCUGCCUCAUUCCCCUCUGAAGUUAAAAAGACUUAAAUUCUUUACAAGGAAGGUCAUCCUUUCGUAGCCAAAACCUUGUUUGCUUUUGCCUUUCCACUUGCUUUCAAAUGAAACAAAAAACAACCCUGAGAGUCCGCAGCAGCCCACUUCUCCAACUCAGAAAUUAAGCAUAACAAGCUCAGGGGAGGGCGGGGGGAAAGACUGUGUUUCAGUUUAUUGAUGUGUGUGUGUGUGUGUGUGUGUGCUCAGCACAGUGCACUUCCCAGCAGCUCUUCCACAAAUGCUGUGCAGAGUGUUCCCAACGUGACCCGAUGGUGAGUUAGAAAGCGCUGGGCACUCGGGCAGCAGUCACACAGUGUUCGGGACCUCGGUGUGCUCACUCAAAGGAACACUGUCAACUGCCUUUAAUAGUGUUAAAUAUAAUUUAUCGAUUCUCCAUUGUUUGUAAUAAUAACCUCCCUGAAGCUUGAGAAUAAUGUUUUCUUUUCCCCUGCAGAUUUUGUCCUGUCAAACAUUUUUUUUUCCGUGGUGUUGCUAAUAGACCUUGAAAUUAACAUCACAUUUAUGUUUAGGAUCUAUACCACGAUUGUUUGUGCUGGUGCGCUGCACUCAUCCAUCAGCAGAGCAAAAUAGGAGAAGGAAGCUGCAUCUGAGCCCCUUACCACCCUGGGAAAAAAUGGGUCAAAGUCUGCCCUUAGACAUAGCACAGAACUCUCAUUAAGGUCAGGAGGAGGCUGGCUGCAUAUGUGUCACUGAGGCAGAAUUUGGUUCGGUGCUUACUAGCCAACUGGCGAAGCUAGAGGGUGCAUAAAAUGUUGGGGGCUGUCCACUUAAGCGUUGGCUGUUGGGGAUUUUGUUACCAUUCUGUGACAUCAGGUAUGUUUAACAUGAAGAAAGGUAUCUCUAAUUACCUAUGAAAUUAAAAUAAGCCUUAAAGCAAAUUAAAUUGGGGGCUAAACCCUUUGAACAGUCACCUAAGAAAAAUUACCAAGCUCCAAGUAAAAUUGGAAGACUGGGUUUGUCAGACUUGUUUGUGUUUAGCAAAAUGGCAAUUAUUCCACUUUAUAUUAGCAAUUAGCAUUUGAAGAAUUUAUAAUUUAUUUUUAACAUU
ensembl:lncRNA